CUUGAACGCUGGCGGCAGGCCUAACACAUGCACGUCGAACGCGUGGCGGACGGGUGCGUAAUGUCUGGGAAACUGCCUGAUGGAGGGGGAUAACUACUGGACACGGUAGCUAAUACCGCAUACCAUCAGAUGUGCCCAGAUGGGAUUAGCUAGUUGGGUGGGUAACGGCUCACCAAGGCGACGAUCCCUAGCUGGUCUGAGAGGAUGACCAGCCACACUGGAUCUGAGACACGGUCCAGACUCCGACGGGAGGCAGCAGUGGGGAAUAUUGCACAAUGGGCGCGAGCCUGAUGCAGCCAUGCCGCGUGUAUGAAGAAGGCCGUCGGGUUGUAAAGCACUUUAAGUUGUGAGGCGUUACCAACAGAAUAAGCACCGGCUAACUUCGUGCCAGCAGCCGCGGUAAUUC
rnacentral:rRNA from 1 species